rnacentral:rRNA from 1 species
UACGAGGGGGGCGAGCGUUGUUCGGAAUUAUUGGGCGUAAAGGGUGCGUAGGCGGUUCCGCAAGUCCUGUGUGAAAUCUUCGGGCUCAACUCGAAGUCUGCACGGGAAACUGCGGGGCUUGAGUGUGGGAGAGGUGAGUGGAAUUCCUGGUGUAGCGGUGAAAUGCGUAGAUAUCAGGAGGAACACCUGUGGCGAAAGCGGCUCACUGGACCACAACUGACGCUGAGGCGCGAAAGCUAGGGGAGCAAACGGG